rnacentral:tRNA from 52 species
ACUCUACUAGGAUGAUGCACAAGAAAAGGUC